GACGAACGCUGGCGGCGUGCUUAACACAUGCAAGUCGAACGGAAAGGCCCGGCUUUGGGGGGGUGCUCGAGUGGCGAACGGGUGAGUAACACGUGAGUAACCUGCCCCUGACUGUGGGAUAACUUCAGGAAACUGGGGCUAAUACCGGCUAGGAGCUCCUGCUGCAUGGUGGGGGUUGGAAAGUUUCGGCGGUUGGGGAUGGACUCGCGGCUUAUCAGCUUGUUGGUGGGGUAGUGGCUUACCAAGGCUUUGACCCGUAGCCUGGCUGAGAGGGUGACCGGCCACACUGGGAUUGGGAUGCGACCCAGACUCCUAUGGGAGGCAGCGGUGCGGUAGAUAGCACAAUGGGCGGAAGCCUAAUGCAGCAACGCCGCGUGCGGGAUGACGUGCUUCCGGUUGUAUUCUGCUUUCGUCUGUGACGAAGCGUUAGUGACGGUAAUGGGUGAAGAAGCACCGGCUAACUACGUG
rnacentral:rRNA from 1 species